rfam:Myotis brandtii contig226360, whole genome shotgun sequence.
GAGACACCCUUGUGGAGUAGGACUUGCUUUAGUGGGCCUGUGGUGCUCACUGAGUCCACCCCUUGAGUGUGUCACU